rnacentral:rRNA from 1 species
UACCGAGUCUAUCCUGGUUCAAACCUAUAAGUACACAACCUAUCCCCAGCCCCUACCAAAGGACGUGUUCUCCACUUCAAGUAAAUACAUUUAAACACAGGGCACCAGUAUAUAACCGGACAUCUUAAAUAGUCUAUACACUUCCACGUUUAACUUUGUCUUCUGAGCAGAUACUACGUCGUCGAGUUUCGACUUCUAAAGAGAUUAUUAAGACUACCAUCACGCGUACUAACCCAACAACACAACCUAUUUUUGUCCUUCCUACAGUAUAAACUCGUCUAUCGACUAGACUAACCCCUACAACUUUUAUGCCAAAAGUUGUACCAACAGACGUAUAGACACAGGUACCAAUGACUCCGUUCAUCAACAACAAUAUUUCAGAAUUUCGAUGUACCCUUCUAGAGCCGUCUAUGAAAUUCGGGGUUUCAUAGUUUCCCCUAAAGUGGAAGAACGGUACGCAACUCGGCGCCACCCUCUUUCACCCACCUAAACAGUAACUAGUCAACGGUAGAGAAGUUAACCCACUUGAAGUAGUGUUCUUUUUUCGUCGUUAAACCAGUAUGGUGGGAUUACACACAUCCGUUCUAGUUUUACGUGUUUAUGGACGAGUCUUUUGGAAGAACGACACCAAGUCUUCUACUUAUGUAGCGGUUCAACGGGAACUAUUACGCAGAAAGAUACUGUGUAUGCUGACAAAGAGGUCGUGACUAAAGUUCGUUGUCUUCAACACGGUUAAGUGAGAGGAGUAGCUGUGAGUUGUUACCGGAGAAGAAGGUCACGGGCUUCGUCGGCGUAUGGGUAUACGGAGCACAACUAAGAGGACUAGCAGUCGGACGGUCUUCAGAGUCGACAGUACGGCAUGUUACAACGGAGAAGUCAUGUAGACACAAUCGAGAAAGACAAUGAUAGGUAAGACAUUCGAGAUCCUUUUUCUACGCCUCUAGUUACUGUGAUCUCCCCGCCUGUCCGUCGACGCCUCGUAGACUACCUCGUUGACUCGAACUCAGUCACUUGUCCUCCUCGUUUCUGUUGUUGACGAGGCAGUAGUAUUUGAAGGUGAGAACCGGCUCGAAUUUGGACGAUCGGUGAAUACGCAUGUCACAUCUAAGAUAACGUUCAAGGAACGAAUAUACACGUACAAGUAGUUAAACCUUUUUUUCUCUACUUUUCCAACGAGCAGUUAGACCGUGGCGUGUUUGAAGGAGAGUUCUCCGCGGUGGUCCACCGCGGGGUUGGGGAUCACAUCCAAAGUAUUCCCGAGUAUACGGCCUUUAUGUCUUCCCGAGUCCUCUUACGGCCCACAUU